CGUUGACGUCUAACCGCGGUCCGUUAUCCGGAUCCGGGACAUGGCGUGGCGGGCAGUUUGACUGGGGCGGUCGCCUCCCAAAGUGUAACGGAGGCGCGCGAUGGUGGGCUCAGACCGGUCGGAAAUCGGUCGUCGAGUGCAAUGGCAUAAGCCCGCCUGACUGCGAGACCGACGGGUCGAGCAGAGACGAAAGUCGGUUCUAGUGAUCCGGUGGUUCUAAGUGGAAGGGCCAUCGCUCAACGGAUAAAAGGUACGCCGGGG
rnacentral:rRNA from 1 species